AUUCCAAGCUAAUAACCUCGACAACCUACGCAUAUAUACUAAAAUCAUAACCAAAGAUGAUUGUAUUAUGAUAAUAAAAAAACAGAAACUUGUUCCUGGAGGCCAAAGCAUGUUCAAUACUUAUAAGCAAUCAUCUCACACACCAUUAGAAGCGUCUGUUCCGAAAUGAGGUACACUUUUUGUUUUUUGUUGACGUUAUUCAUAUCCACUAUUUGUUACGAAUAUGAUAGUGAAGAAAUUGAUGAAUUUUACGAUGAAUUAGAGAGAGAAGAAGAAAGUAAAAAACCUAUAAUAUACGAUUUAAAGGACGCGGAAAGUUUAUUUGAGAAAUACAUUAAGGAUUUUAAUAAAUCGUAUAAAGAUGAUAAGGAAUACAAGGAACACUACAAAAACUUCGUUGAUAAUCUCAAAUUUAUAAAUGAAGUGAACUCGUCGGGAAAAUCGUCAGUAGCGGGACUUAAUUCGUUAUCCGACAGAGAUGUGGCGAAUGAAUUCCAAGGAUUUUUAUAAAAGAAAGACUCUCUGCGAUGAAGAAUUGAACCAUAAAACGUGUAUACCAAGAAUAAACUUACGGAAUAAUCUGUACUGAAGAAAACAAUUAACGGAAUUAAACUAUUUUUAUCUAUCUA